AGAGUUUGAUCCUGGCUCAGGAUAAACGCUGGCGGCAUGCCUAAUACAUGCAAGUCGAACGAUGAGAUAUGUGCUUGCACAUAUUGACGAGUGGCGAACGGGUGAGUAACAGGUAGUUAAUCUGCCCAAUGGACUGGGACAACUUUUGGAAACGAAAGCUAAUACCGGAUAAGAGGAAACUUUAAAGGCGCGUGUGCGUC
rnacentral:rRNA from 1 species